rnacentral:lncRNA from 1 species
UUUCAAGGCCAGCCUCCGGGAAGAAGUCAUCAAUUGUCUGUUCCGCAACAUCGAUGUUUUUGCAUGGAAGGUCGAGGAUAUGCUAGGGAUAGACCCUGAAGUGGCAGUCCAUAGACUCAAUAUAAGCCCAGGGGCCAAACCUGUUAAGCAAAAGAAGAGGUAGUUUGCGCCAGAAAAAUGUGUGGUCAUUCAAGAAGAGGUCGGCAAACUGGUGAGAGCGGGGUUCAUAAGGGAAGUCCAAUACCCAGAUUGGCUCGCUAAUGUUGUUCUUGUGAAGAAGGCCAGUG